rnacentral:rRNA from 1 species
GUCCCCUUCGGGGGACAAGUAGAGUGGCGCACGGGUGAGUAACACGUAGGUAAUCUACCUUCGGAUGGGGAAUAACAAUCGGAAACGAUUGCUAAUACCGCAUAAUGCAGCGGCACCUAAUGGUGACAGUUGUUAAAGCGGGGGAUCGAAAGACCUCGCGUCUGAAGAGGAGCCUGCGGCGGAUUAGCUAGUUGGUAAGGUAAUGGCUUACCAAGGCAACGAUCCGUAACCGGCCUGAGAGGGCGGUCGGUCACACUGACACUGACAUACGGGUCAGACUCCUACGGGAGGCAGCAGUCGGGAAUUUUGGGCAAUGGGCGAAAGCCUGACCCAGCAACGCCGCGUGAAGGAUGAAAUCCCUCGGGAUGUAAACUUCGCAAGAACGGGAAGAAUAAGUAGGGGACAAUACCCCCUAUGAUGACGGUACCGUUUGUAAGCUCCGGCUAACUCCGUGCCAGCAGCCGCGGUAAUACGGGGGGAGCAAGCGUUGUUCGGAUUUACUGGGCGUAAAGGGCGCGUAGGCGGCCAGCACAAGUCAGUUGUGAAAUCUCCGAGCUUAACUCGGAAAGGUCAACUGAUACUGUGCGGCUAGAGUGCGGAAGGGGCAACUGGAAUUCUUGGUGUAGCGGUGAAAUGCGUAGAUAUCAAGAGGAACACCUGCGGCGAAGGCGGGUUGCUGGGCCGACACUGACGCUGAGGCGCGAAAGCCAGGGGAGCGAACGGGAUUAGAUACCCCGGUAGUCCUGGCCUUAAACGAUGAAUGCUUGGUGUCUGGGGUUAUAUAGUCCCCGGGUGCCGUCGCUAACGC